GGUCGUGUAGUGUAGUGGUUAUCACAACUACUUUAAAAAUCCCAUUGUAUUCGCCGUUGGUCGCAGGUUGAACCCUGCCACGAUCA